GCUGGGCGUGGUGGUGCAUGCCUGUAAUCCCAGUGGCUUGGGAGUCUGAGGCAGGAGGAUCGCAAGUUCAAAGCCAGCCUCAGCAAUGGUUAGGUGCUAAGCAACUCAGUGAGACUCUGUCUCUA
rnacentral:sRNA from 1 species